AGGUGGGGCUGAUGACUGGGGUGAAGUCGUAACAAGGUAUCCGUACCGGAAGGUGCGGAUGGAUCACCUCCUAACAGGGAGACAACACAAUGAUUUUGAUGCCUGAGUGCUUUUAUUCUUAGGCCGAAGUCCUGUCACCUUAGGUCGAUCGGUACCUCAGCUUUGAAGUUAAGGAUCAGCAGCAAUGUUGAUUGCUUGAUUGAGAUUUUCAGUUCCUAAACUUUGUCUAGGUCACACCCCAAAAGGGAUGAGACUCCUGGGCCAUUAGCUCAGGUGGUUAGAGCGCACCCCUGAUAAGGGUGAGGUCCCUGGUUCAAGUCCAGGAUGGCCCAUUCGGUGUUGGGGGUUUAGCUCAGUUGGUAGAGCGCCUGCUUUGCAAGCAGGAUGUCAGGAGUUCGAGUCUCCUAACCUCCACUGACCGAACUUGAUUCCCAUCUCCACUUCUUUUGGAGUUGAGCUCGAUUGGAGUGUGAUUUAGAUGUGUCCGCUGGAUGACCCCAGCUUCCUGUCAUUCCAAGUUUAGGUUAAAGCCUUGAAUUUGGUUGAUAAGAUGCUGGGCUCGGAUCAAACGAUCAAGAAAUUGAUGAUUUGAUUUGAAGUUCUAGCAGAACCUUGACAACUGCAUAGGUAAGUCUGGAAAAAACAAAGCAUCUUACAGAUGCAUUGUUUUGAAUUUGAUCUUCUGAAAGGGAGAUUGGAUCUAGAACAAUGAAAAUUCUUUUUAGCAAGAGCCGAGACUCUUGAACGUUCUUUGAUUCGUGUCGAGCGAAUCAGAGUUUGAUCUUGUUUUUAGCAAUAAAAACUUCAGAAUCUGCUUUCAACGGCGGUAAGCGUUCAGGAGGUUAAUUGGUCAAGCUACAAAGGGCUCACG
rnacentral:misc_RNA from 1 species